rnacentral:rRNA from 1 species
UACGAAGGGGGCUAGCGUUGUUCGGAAUUACUGGGCGUAAAGGGCGCGUAGGCGGUGUGUCAAGUCAGGCGUGAAAGCCCCGGGCUCAACCUGGGAACAGCGUGUGAGACUGGCACGCUCGAGUUCGGGAGAGGAUGGUGGAAUUCCCAGUGUAGAGGUGAAAUUCGUAGAUAUUGGGAAGAACACCGAUGGCGAAGGCAGCCAUCUGGACCGACACUGACGCUGAGGCGCGAAAGCGUGGGGAGCAAACAGG